rnacentral:rRNA from 1 species
CCUACGGGGGGCAGCAGUGGGGAAUUUUGGACAAUGGGCGCAAGCCUGAUCCAGCCAUGCCGCGUGUCUGAAGAAGGCCUUCGGGUUGUAAAGGACUUUUGUUAGGGAAGAAAAGGAUAGUGUUAAUACCAUUAUCUGCUGACGGUACCUAAAGAAUAAGCACCGGCUAACUACGUGCCAGCAGCCGCGGUAAUACGUAGGGUGCGAGCGUUAAUCGGAAUUACUGGGCGUAAAGCGAGCGCAGACGGUUUAUUAAGCAAGAUGUGAAAUCCCCGAGCUUAACUUGGGAACUGCGUUUUGAACUGGUAAGCUAGAGUAUGUCAGAGGGGGGUAGAAUUCCACGUGUAGCAGUGAAAUGCGUAGAGAUGUGGAGGAAUACCGAUGGCGAAGGCAGCCCCCUGGGAUAAUACUGACGUUCAUGCUCGAAAGCGUGGGUAGCAAACAGGAUUAGAUACCCUGGUAGUC